AUGAGUGCCUUCGGGGAACUCUGAGACAGGUGCUGCAUGGCUGUCGUCAGCUCGUGUCGUGAGAUGUUGGGUUAAGUCCCGCAACGAGCGCAACCCUUAUCUUCAGUUGCCAGCAUUUCGGAUGGGGACUCUGGAGAGACUGCCCCGGUAAACGGGGAGGAAGGUGGGGAUGACGUCAAGUCCUCAUGGCCCUUAUGCCCAGGGCUACACACGUGCUACAAUGGCAGGUACAGAGGGCAGCGAGGCAGCGAUGCCGAGCGAAUCCCUAAAGCCUGUCCCAGUCCGGAUUGGAGUCUGCAACUCGACUCCAUGAAGUUGGAAUCGCUAGUAAUCGCGGAUCAGCAUGCCGCGGUGAAUAAGUUCCCGGGCCUUGUACACACCGCCCGUCACACCAUGAGAGUUGA
rnacentral:rRNA from 1 species